GUCAGUGUCAACAAUCGGCGCAAAAAUUUCAAAUGUCUUUCUAUGUCUGCUGUUAGAGCUUGUUUUUGUCAAAUCAACAUAGACUGAAUCAGUGCUUCAGCUUUUACUUUCUUAGAARAAUYCGGAUUYGGUGUGUCCAAUAUCUUAAACAUCUGUCCAACUGAAAAUCUCCCCAAAGAAAGCAGACGAUUGAAUGUUUGACAGUUUUGACAAAAAAUAGAACARCAUUAACUUUCCAAAUAUAAAAAAUGAUCCAGACAAUUGUUCAUGAAAGGUAUAGUCCCGCACCAGAUUAAUUGAAAGAGGUAUGACGAUACGCCCUGCGCCCCCAAGAAAUGCAGUAGAAAAAAUCAGUUUUGAAGAUAAAACUGAAGAAACGUGGUACUAGCAAACUUCACAAAAAAUGCAUCAAUCGUCGACUUUCAAUUUGCUUUUAUGUGUAUGCUGCUCACGUAUCACCGCAUUUCUUUAGCGCGCCCCUCCAACAACAUAUCGAUUUUUUCAAAUAGAAACUUAACGAAAA